rnacentral:rRNA from 1 species
GUCUAUUGCCAAACCACCCUGAAUGUAUCCCAUCUUGUCUGAUCUCGAAAGCUAAGCAGGCUCAGCGUGGAGGAGAUAGAUC